rnacentral:rRNA from 1 species
CGAACGCUGGCGGCGUACUUAACACAUGCAAGUCGUGCGAGGAUCGCCUUGUGAGCAAUCAUGAGGUGGUUUUAGCGGCGCACGGGUGAGUAACACGUGGGUAACCUGCCCUCGAGACCGGGAUACCCCCUCGAAAGGGGGGCUAAUACCGGAUACGUUCCCCGGGUUGCGAGACCUGGGGAGGAAAGGUGGCGAAAGCUGCCGUUCGUGGAGGGGCUCGCGGCCUAUCAGCUUGUUGGCGGGGUAACGGCCCACCAAGGCAAUGACGGGUAGCUGGUCUGAGAGGACGACCAGCCACACGGGGACUGAGACACGGCCCCGACUCCUACGGGAGGCAGCAGUGGGGAAUUUUCCGCAAUGGGCGAAAGCCUGACGCAGCGACGCCGCGUGCGUGACGAAGGCCUUCGGGUUGUAAAGCGCUGUCAGGGGGGAAGAAAAGGCCGGGGUUAAUAGCCCGGGCUCUUGACGGUACCCCUGAAGGAAGCCCCGGCUAACUCCGUGCCAGCAGCCGCGGUAAUACGGAGGGGGCGAGCGUUGCUCGGAAUCACUGGGCGUAAAGAGCGUGUAGGCGGUGCGGAAAGUCCGGUGUGAAGCCCUCGGCUUAACCGAGGGAGGGCACCGGGAACUUCUGCACUUGAGUGCGGAGAGGAGUGAAUUCCCAGUGUAGCGUGAAUGCGUAGAUAUGGAAGAACACCGGUGGCGAAGGCGGCUCCCUGGACCGUAACUGACGCUGAGACGCGAAAGCUGGGGAGCAAACGGAUUAGAUACCCCGGUAGUCCCAGCCCUAAACGAUGGGCACUAGGUGUAGGGGGUGUUGACCCCUCCUGUGCCGCAGCUAACGCAAUAAGUGCCCCGCCUGGGGAGUACGGUCGCAAGGCUAAGACUCAAAGGAAUUGACGGGGGCCCGCACAAGCGGUGGAGCAUGUGGUUUAAUUCGACGCAACGCGAAGAACCUUACCUGGGCUUGACAUGGCCCGGACAGGCCGAGAGAUCGGCUCUCCCUUCGGGGCCGGGUCACAGGUGCUGCAUGGCUGUCGUCAGCUCGUGUCGCGAGAUGUUGGGUUAAGUCCCGCAACGAGCGCAACCCUCACCCUUAGUUGCCAGCGGUUCGGCCGGGAACUCUAAGGGAACUGCCGGUGAUAAACCGGAGGAAGGUGGGGACGACGUCAAGUCCUCAUGGCCUUUAUGCCCAGGGCUACACACGUGCUACAAUGGCCGGCACAAAGGGUUGCGAAACCGCGAGGUGGAGCCAAUCCCAAAACACCGGUCUCAGUUCGGAUUGGAGUCUGCAACUCGACUCCAUGAAGCCGGAAUCGCUAGUAAUCGUGGAUCAGCACGCCACGGUGAAUACGUUCCCGGGCCUGUACACACCGC